UCCCUGGUGGUCCAGUGGUUAAGAUUCUGGCAUUCCCAAUGCAGAGGGCUCAGGUUCAAUCCCUGGUCAGGGAA
rnacentral:tRNA from 1 species